rnacentral:lncRNA from 1 species
AAAAUAUAGUAAAUUUUAUUAAAGAAACAAUACAGAUAUUUAAAUGGUUAAAUAUAAAAACAGUACAAAAGAUAUUUAAAACAUGUUUAAUGGGAAAAUGUGCAACUUUUAGAUUUCAAAUUGAAACAAGGGCUGAUGUAACCUCACCCCUUUAUAAUCAGACUCUAGGACUUCACAGACUAUUAUUUUAAUUAUCAGGCAGGACUAGGUACAGAAUGCAUUGCACUCCUUUCCUUCCUUCCCUACCAUUGCUUGACCCAACCAUGACUCAAAGAAUGAGAAAACUUUUGCCUAAAACAUGAAACCAAGGUAUACAAAAUGCAACAUUUUUUAGACAUGGCUAAUGUGGGGAUUUGUUUUGCUUGACUAUACAUGUUACAUGGACUUUCUUUUUUCUUUUUCUCUCUAGUUGAGGGAGUUUUUUAACUGUAAAAAAUUUUUUUAAAAAUCAUUGUUUUAGCAAAAUAACGGUUUGGACAUGUAUACUUAUAUUGUAUUUAAUUUAUACUUUAACAUAUUUAACAUGUAUUGGUCAACCUGCCAUCUGGGGGAGGGGAUGGGGGGAAGGAGGGGGAAAAUUAGAACAAAAGGUUUGGCAAUUGUCAAUGCUAUAAAAUUACCCAUGCAUAUAACUUGUAAAUAAAAAGCUAUAAUUAAAAAAAGUAUUAAAAAAUAAAAUACAAUAAAUUCAACAACAAAAAAAUCAUUGUUUUGCAUAGCUUCACAUGUAGUUUAUUAAUGGAACUUAGGGGUGGGGACAAGGGAGAGAAUUGCGACCCAAGUUUUUUUUUUUUUUUUUUUAAUGUAAAAAAGUUAUUCUAAAUAUAACUGGGGGAAAUAUUAAAUAAAUGUGAUUUUUAAAAUAUUAUCAUUGCUACUGAGGGCAAGACAACCUACUGCCCCAUGACUUCACAUCAGAUGUCAUUUUGUAUAUACUUUUUAAUUUUCUGUCCUCAGUUACAUUCUAAUGGGGGAAGACUACCCAUAAAGAGGAGGUGAAAAGGGAAGAACAGCAGUACGAAUAUGGAGAUGGUCAGAAGUAACACAGAGGCCUAGUCCUAACAGAGUUAGAGUGAAUGCUCAUCUUUCAGAGCACAGAAUCCCAGGGGCAAAAUUCAAGGUCCACAGGGGAGAAAGAUGAAGAUGACAGAUAGAAGUGGUAUAAUGAAAGGAUGAGAUGGUCAGGAGUUCCUUAUACAAAAGAAAUCACAAGUCCAGGUUUUAUUCCCUCAUCCCUGACACCUAUUACAGUACAUGGUUUAUAAUCGGUGUUCAAUAUUAAUGCUUGGUGAACUGAGAAUUCAAUUACAUUCACAUUAAUGUCCAUAUUGUCUCUAACAAGACAAGGACACCACCUCAUCUUAUUGAAAUGGAAACUAUAAGUGAUGAGGUUUUGCUAUAAAGUUCAGAAUAUUUGUUUCUAGAUGUUACAUAUAGAAACAAUAGCUUGCUUUUUUAUAUAACAACCAAUUGGCAAUGCAUUUUCUUUGCAAUGCUAUGAAGUAGAUGAUAGGAGCAUUCUAGAGAUGAAGAAAUGGGAGUGACCUAUUCAUUUCCACUGAUAAAAUUAAAUUUAGUUGUACUAUUUAAAUAUCAUAGUACUAAGGACUUCAGUGGCAAGAACUUUUUCAUGCUACAGAACAUAAAGGGGAUAUGAUGGAAGCUUUUUUUUUUUUUUUUUUUUUUUAAGAUUGUAAGCUUUAAGAACUAUGUAGUUUUACAGAUGAGAAAAAUGAAACACACCUUUUGCCCAACAGAAUCCUUUAGAUCACUUUGAGAGGCAAAUGCUUUUAUGGUGCUUAGAUCUAAGCCAUUCUCUAGUCACA